AUUAUAGCUCAGUUGGUAGAGCAAUUGAUUCGUAAUCAAUAGGUCGCCAGUUCGAUCCUGGCUA
rnacentral:tRNA from 1 species